CCUACGGGUGGCAGCAGUGAGGAAUAUUGGUCAAUGGACGAGAGUCUGCACCAGCCACGUAGCGUGAAGGAUGACUGACCUAUGGGUUGUAAACUUCUUUUAUAUGGGAAUAAAAUGUUCCACGUGUGGGAUUUUGUAUGUACCAUAUGAAUAAGGAUCGGCUAACUCCGUGCCAGCAGCCGCGGUAAUCCGGAGGAUCCGAGCGUUAGCCGAAUUUAUUGGGUUUAAAGGGAGAGUAGGUGGAUUGUUACUGCAGUUGUGAAAGUUUGCGGCUCAACCGUAAAAUUGCAGUUGAAACUGGCAGUCUUGAGUACAGUAGAGGUGGGCGGAAUGAGUGGUGUAGCGGUGAAAUGCUUAGAUAUCACGAAGAACUCCGAUUGCGAAGGCAGCUCACUGGACUGCAACUGACACUGAGGCUCGAAAGUGUGGGUAUCAAACAGGAUUAGAUACCCUGGUAGUC
rnacentral:rRNA from 1 species